rnacentral:misc_RNA from 1 species
UUUCCGUAGGUGAACCUGCGGAAGGAUCAUUACUGAGUGAGGGCCCCUCGGGGUCCAACCUCCCACCCGUGUUUAACGAACCUUGUUGCUUCGGCGGGCCCGCCUCACGGCCGCCGGGGGGCAUCUGCCCCCGGGCCCGCGCCCGCCGAAGCCACCUGUGAACGCUGUCUGAAGGAUGCAGUCUGAGACAAUUAUUAAAUUAAUUAAAACUUUCAACAACGGAUCUCUUGGUUCCG